AACGAACGCUGGCGGCAGGCCUAACACAUGCAAGUCGAGCGAGGACUUCGGUCCUAGCGGCGGACGGGUGAGUAACGCGUGGGAACGUGCCCUUUGCUUCGGAAUAGCCCUGGGAAACUGGGAGUAAUACCGGAUGAGCCCUUUGGGGAAAAGAUUUAUCGGCGAAGGAUCGGCCCGCGUUGGAUUAGGUAGUUGGUGGGGUAAUGGCCUACCAAGCCGACGAUCCAUAGCUGGUUUGAGAGGAUGAUCAGCCACACUGGGACUGAGACACGGCCCAGACUCCUACGGGAGGCAGCAGUGGGGAAUCUUAGACAAUGGGGGAAACCCUGAUCGAGCCAUGCCGCGUGAGCGAUGAAGGCCUUAGGGUUGUAAAGCUCUUUCAGCUGGGAAGAUAAUGACGGUACCAGCAGAAGAAGCCCCGGCUAACUCCGUG
rnacentral:rRNA from 1 species